UGCGCAGGGCUGCGGUCCACUUGUGAGCGGGUGCUUCCUGGUUCCAGUUGUUUUUUUGCUCGAACAGACUCUUAGAAUUUUGAAUACGUGUCGCUUUAUCUUUAGUAGUUCUGGUGUCAGAGAGGGACCAGAAGGAGACCUCACAGCUCCCAGGAGCCCGAGCCACCAGGGAAGGUACCUGCCGAGUCACUCGUCCUCGCUGUUCUCUCGCUGCCUCUGGAGGUGCCGGGAAGGUCCUCUCGGUCCUGGUUCCUGGGUCCGAAGCUUUUGCUUCAUGAGCUUUACGACCCCAUGAGAUUUGCUUUUUCUGGACUGGACCACAAACUACCUGCAGUCAGAAACUGGAUUGGGAGUCACUUGUCCUCGCUGUUCUCCCGCUGCCUCUGGACGACCCCAUGAGAAUUGCCUUUUCUGGACUGGACCAGAAACUACCUGCAGUCAGAAACUGGACUGGGGCUGGGACUGGAUUGUGUCCAUUUAGAAACCAGGCUGGAUCUGACUUAAGCCGGAGGCAAGCCAUUGUGAAGCUCUCAGUUUGUGGUGAUCAGCGCGGGACCCACAGGGAUAGACAUUCCCUCCAGAGCCUGCAAACAGCACCUUGGAAAAACUGGCAGAAGUCAGCAAAUGAGCAGAUACACGUCCCACCAGGGGACCCAGCAACUUAAAGAAAGGAUAAUGGAGUCAUAAGAUCUCAUCACUAGGAUGGAAGAGA